GAGAGCUGAGUAGUGAUGAGAGGGACAGCAGUGGAGGAGAAGGUGAGGAGAGAAGAGAGCUGAGCAGUGAUGAGAGAGACAGCAGUGGAGGAGAAGGUAAGGAGAGAAGAGAGCUGAGCAGUGAUGAGAGAGACAGCAGUGGAGGAGAAGGUAAGGAGAGAAGAGAGCUGAGCAGUGAUGAGAGAGACAGCAGUGGAGGAGAAGGUGAGGAGAGAAGAGAGCUGAGCAGUGAUGAGAGAGACAGCAGUGGAGGAGAAGGAGAGAAGAGAGCUGAGCAGUGAUGAGAGAGACAGCAGUGGAGGAGAAUGUGAGGAGAGAGGAGAGCUAAGAAGUGACGAGCAACAGUGGCGUGCGAGAAGGUUUGGGCUUUUUUCCGAUUCAUCUUUCCUCGAUUCGUUGCAUCCUCUCGUCUUGACCUUCUCCAAUACAGUUGAGAACGAGGCGAGGAGAUGGGAUGUGAGGAGUUGCAGAAAGAUCAACUGAGAUGGAGUAGAGGAAAGUGACAGCAGCUUCUGUGGAGAGAAGGAUGGAAGAGAGGAUGGGAGGGA